UCGCCCGGGUGUUGCUGCCGCCGCCGCCGCCGCCGCCUCCUGCUCCUCCGGCCUCAAGCUGCAUUUCUGCCCCUCGCCGGAGCUUGGAGCGAUGUCAAGCUCCGCCGGGCUGGGAUGCAGCAGCAGCAGCAGGGCUGGGAUGCCGCUGAAGCUGGGCGGGGGGGGCUGCGAGGAGGAGGCGGCUGCAGAGCACCAGCGACCCGGCGCAGCGUUAAUGAGGCACAGGAGCAGAUGUGGACAUUUGCAUCUAUAAUUUGUCCCGCUUACUAAAAGGAUGAAAAUAUGGGCCUCAGUCUCUCCUGCCUGAAAGGCUUUAAAACAUGUGUCAGCAGAGGUGGCGGUGUUGGCGGCGGUGGCAGCAGCCGCCGCGAGGUGCCCACCGUGACUGACAAGCGCCUGAAAGUCCCGGACAUUAUUAUCACGCCCCCGACCCCCACGGGGAAGGCCCUGUCAAGAGAUGGCAGGCCGGCAGGUGAAGAGUCGGUGUGCAACUGCUGAGCCAGAUGGCUGGGGAGGCCGCCUGCUGUGGAGAGGCCAGAGGGACCAGGAGAUGCCAUGAAAGCGCCCGGCGCUGUGAACAGCUUGCUCAGGAACUCGUCUGUGCCUCUGGGUGCCCCCAACCCUCCUCCCUUUCCUCUCCCCCCGCCUUACUGGGCUGAUGAAAGAUUUAUUAAUAGAUCCACAUAUACCUCAAUGCUGGGACCACCGCACUGUUACAGGCUUCCGUCAAGCGAGGACGUGCUAGGAAAUUAGCCGAGCCCAGGGCCUGGAUGCCCGAGAUGGAUGGCGCCGGAAGGCAGACGGCAAGGAAGGGUUUUGCUGGGCAAGGCAAGCGGCGUGGCCCAAAGCCCCGGAAAACUCAGGCGCGAAGGGGCAAGAGCUCAUCCGCAAGACCUCUUCCCGACUGCCUUUUUGGUGGUGCAUAGGAGGGUCCUUAACCCCCACCCAGCCACCCCCGCCACCAAUAAUAAUGCAUCAGGAUGUGCACCUCUAACGCAUGGCAGCCAAAUAUCUCCACCACCACCCCAUUUUUCAGGACCAAACAAGCCCAAAAUAGAACGGUUGUGGCUGCUCCUUGAGACUGGGAUUCCACACAGGCAAAGAGUGACUGGGAUACGGAUUCCCUGAGGGUAGAUCAUGCUCUUCAUUAGUUUAGUUUCCUCUAAACCAGGGAUUCCCAAUCCCAGGCCCUCAGAUGAUGUUGGACUACAAAUCCCAUCAUCCCCAGCCACUGUGAGUCACAUCAUCCCCGUUGGGAAUCCCUGGUCUAAGUUGGUAGAAACAAAAUUUUUCAAAAGGUCACACGCUGGUGCAGGCAUGGUGGGGAGUAGUCUUCACUAUCGACCUCACUGGCACUGUCCAAUAGGAUGCUACAACCACAUUCCACAACGCAUAGGCAGGAGCAACAGAAACACUUGCAGAAGGAACAUUCACAUGUUCUCAACAACAACCUCUUCCUGUUUCAGUGUCAAGGAAACAUGAACUUUUGACAACCUAAACCUUGUUAAGGAAAGAUGCAUGGAAGUCAUGGACCUCAGCUGAGUGUGUGUGUUGUUGUUUUUAAAAAGUGCAUUUAUUGCAUGGAAAUAGCUGUAAGACGAGCUAAAUGAAAAGAAAGUGGAGAAUGCACCAAUAUUUGUUCCAGUG